GCGAGGGUAGCCAAGCCAGGCCAAAGGCGGUGGACUUAAGAUCCACUCCCAAAGGGGUCCGUGGGUUCGAAUCCCAUCCCUCGCA
rnacentral:tRNA from 2 species